rnacentral:rRNA from 1 species
UAGUAGCUGCGAGCGAAUAGGGAUAAGCUCAGCAUUAAAUCUUAUAACUUGAAAAGUUAUUAAGAUAUGUAAUGUUUAGGAAGAUUCUUUUAUCCUAUAAUAUACACUUAGCUCAAGUCCACCUUGGAAUGGGGCAUAUCCCGUAGAGGGUGCCAGUCCCGUAGUAGCAAGUGUUUAUAUUAUUGGUGAGUCUUUCCUUAGAGUCGGGUUACUUGUAAAUGUAGCUCUAAGUGGGUGGUAAACUUCAUCUAAAGCUAAAUACAACCACAAGACCGAUAGCGAACAAGUACCAUGAGGGAAAGUUGAAAAGAACUUUGAAGAGAG